ACAAUUGAUGCUGUGUGGUGUUGGCCAAUACAUGAAACAACUGGAAUUCUCAGUGGAAUGGUAUUCAAGUCAAGCAAAUCUUUCUGUUCAAGCAACGCCAGUCAGCAUAGACACAAGACAGAUACUCUCCAGCACGUAUGUCUGUGAACAGUUUUUCCAUCCUUAUAAGAGCUACGUGGAAACAACCUGAGUGUCCAUCAACAGCAUUGUACGAGUGUGACGCUCACCUGUGGGAGACUACUACCUAUGACCAAAGACAAACUGCUGCUGUCCACAGCAAGGAGGAUAUAAGUCACAGACAAAAGCCUGUAUGAGAGAUCAGAUAUGAGGAGCACAUAGUCUUUGGUUCCAUUGUAUGAGGCAUCGAGCUAGGCAUCUGGGGAUGGAUCAAGAGUUAUGGGGGUCACUGGCUGGGAGAGGAGCCUUCUGCAGGAUGGGAUCUGAUCUAGUCAUUAAUCUAUCCUAAAAUUCUUUUUAUCUCUGCCUCUCUGUGUAGGGAGAAGGCUCCAGCUCACGACCUCUUGCUUUAGCCUCUAGUGUGCUGAAUUGACAGGUGUGGGCCACCACGUCUGGCCCUGGAUGUAGACUUCAUUUGGAGGCAGGCGGUGGUUCCGAGAGUGCCUACAGUCUAAAAGUGAUCUCUCCAUGGGAAUUCCAGUUGCAAACUAGCUGCAUUUACCUCUAUUUUGAUUUAAGUGUGUUUGGGCCUCUCUGUGUAUGUGCUACGUGAGUACGGGUACCCACGGAGGACAGAAGAGGGUGUCAGAUCCGCUGGAGCCAGAGUUAUGGCGUUUGUGAGCCUCCCAAGCUGCAGAUACCUCCGCCUCACAGUCCUGCUGCCACGCCCUGCAAGCCACGAUGCACUAGACCCUGGCACCGUGCACCGACAUAAACCCUUUCUUCCCUCGAUUGCUAUUUUCUCACAGCAAAAAGAAAAAGUGUUAACAGGACAGUAACCGAGUUCCUGGAGAUUUUCAUUCCCCCCCCCCAAGGAAAUCCUGUUGUAAGACACUGCCUCAUUCUGACCUUGACAGGAACUAACCUACAAACCUGUGACUUUGCCUAUCCAGGAUACUGCAUAUGAAUGGAACUGUACAGUUCCAGACAUGAGCCUGGCUUCUAUUUGAGAGGGGUUAGCUAAACCCAAGGACUUCGCUUCUAAUAACUUAGAAAUAAAGGGACCAGACCCUCACUCAGCCUUAAUAGCCAUGACAGGCUACAGAAAGGACACAUAAGCCUCUAACACAAAGAAACUCCAGAAUCCCGCCCCCUCUCAGCCUCCUAGAUACUUGGUUCCUGGGAACUUUUGGCUGCAAAAGAAACUCUAGGGGGGACCAUAACCUUCCCUGUAGUCUCCAGGAUAUAGUUCUGAAAACUAUUGAAAUCUAUGAACAAUAGGCUACCUGCAAGUAACAAGACAAUGCCAUAGACACCACAGAAUAUUCCCUGUCAGCACUGACCAAUGAAAAUAAUUGGUACAUAGGCAUUUCAUGCCAAAAU